GGAUUCGGACUUUGCUAGACGUAUAUUUGAUAGCGAUCCUCUUAUGCCACGCCCUCCGUUUGUUAGUCAUCCCAGGGAGGUUAGGCAGAUACCAAUAGAGGUUAAGGAUAGCAGUGGACCAUCAGGACGAUCUAGUGAUGUUCCUACUAUUGAGGACGUGACAGAAACAGCUCAUGUUCAAGGUCCAGCUACUCAAGGAACUAUUAUUAUAGAUGAAGAGAG
rnacentral:lncRNA from 1 species